GGGCCGGUAGUCUAGCCUGGAAGGAUACCCGCUUGGCAUGCGGGAGAUCCCGGGUUCAAAUCCCGGCCGGUCCA
rnacentral:tRNA from 1 species